UCCCUUAUAGCUCAGUUGGUAAAGAAUCCGCUUGCAAUGCAGGAGACCCUGGUUCGAUUCCUGGGUUGGGAA
rnacentral:tRNA from 1 species